AGUCAUCAACCCCCUCCGUUUCGUGCGGUUCGGGUUGGAGCUGGGGGCUCUGCCGCCGUGAGGCGGCUCCCCUCAAAUGCAUCGGUUGGGCCUGUGGGUCGAACUCGACUGGGCGUUGUACCAUCCUCGCUCGACAGAGACGUUCCCCUCUUGUGCCCUUCCCCGACCGCCUCUCAAGGGUGGUGGUCAACUUUUUGAA
rnacentral:misc_RNA from 1 species